rnacentral:rRNA from 1 species
GCAAGGAAUCUUCCGCAAUGGGCGAUGAGCCUGACGGAGCAACGCCGCGUGGGGGAUGAGGCCCUUCGGGGUGUAAACCCCUUUUCUGUGGGAAGAAGAUCUGACGGUACCACAGGAAGAAGGACCGGCUAACUACGUGCCAGCAGCCGCGGUAAUACGUAGGGUCCGAGCGUUGUCCGGAGUUACUGGGCGUAAAGCGCGCGCAGGCGGCGGUGUUGGCCCGGCGUGAAAGCCCCCGGCUCAACCGGGGAGAGUCGUCGGGGACCGCACCGCUUGAGGGCGGUAGGGGCUGGUGGAAUGCCUGGUGUAGUGGUGAAAUGCGUAGAGAUCAGGCAGAACACCUGGGGCGAAGGCGGCCAGCUGGGCCGUCCCUGACGCUGAGGCGCGAAGGCGUGGGGAGCGAACGGGAUUAGAUACCCGUGUAGUCC